AUUGAACGCUAGCGGCAUGCUUUACACAUGCAAGUCGAACGAGCGGCGGACGGGUGAGAAAUGCAUGGGGACUGCCCGAUAGAGGGGGAUAACUACUGGAAACGGUAGCUAAUACCGCAUACUAUCGGAUAACCCAUAUGGGAUGAGCUAGUAGGUGAGGUAAUGGCUAACAUAGGAGACGAGCCCUAGCUGGUAUGAGAGGAUGAUCAGCCACACUGGAACUGAGACACGGCCCAGACUCCUACGGAGGCAGCAGGGGGGAAUAUGGCACAAGGGGCGCAGGCCUGAUGCAGCCAUGCCGCGUGUAUGAAGAAGGCCCUCGGGUUGUAAAGUACUUUCAGUGGGGAGGCGUUACCGACAGAAGAAGCACCGGCUAACUCCGUGCCAGCAGCCGCGGUAAUUC
rnacentral:rRNA from 1 species